AGUGAACGCUGGCGGUAGGCCUAACACAUGCAAGUCGAACGGCAGCACAGUAAGAGCUUGCUCUUACGGGUGGCGAGUGGCGGACGGGUGAGGAAUACAUCGGAAUCUACUUUUUCGUGGGGGAUAACGUAGGGAAACUUACUCUAAUACCGCAUACGACCUACGGGGGAAAGCAGGGGAUCUUCUGACCUUGCGCGAUUGAAUGAGCCGAUGUCGGAUUAGCUAGUUGGCGGGGUAAAGGCCCACCAAGGCGACGAUCCGUAGCUGGUCUGAGAGGAUGAUCAGCCACACUGGAACUGAGACACGGUCAAGACUCCUACGGGAGGCAGCAGUGGGGAAUAUUGGACAAUGGGCGGAAGCAUGAUACAGCGAUACCGCGUGGGUGAAGACGGCCUUCGGGUUGUAAAGACCUUUUGUUGGGAAAGAAAAGCAGCAGGUUAAUACCCCGCUGUUCUGACGGUACCCAAAGAAUAAGCACCGGCUAACUUCGUG
rnacentral:rRNA from 1 species